GCGAGCAUAGGCUGCCUCUCUCUGCCCCCCGGGUGGGGCGGGCCCCGGCUCCGGCCCCCCGCCCAUCCCGCCCCUCGGCCCCGGCCCCGGCCCCGCACACGCACACGCACACGCACACGCACCUGCCCCGGCACUGCGGGGGGACCCUGGGAUCGGGCUUUAGGCUCGGACAUUAAGCUUUACUCUGUCCAGUUCUGGGCUCCUCAGUACAAGAGACAAGGAGCUGCUGGAGGUGGUCCAGCGGAGGCCGCAAAGAUGAUGUCUCAAAGGGGUGUCAGAGGAUGGUGUCAGACUCUUUUCGGUGGUGCCCAGCGACAGGACAAGGAGCAAAGGCCAUAAACCAAAGCACAAAAAGUUUCACCUCAACAUGAGGAAGAACUUGUUUCGACUGAGGGUGGCAGAGCACUGGAACAGCUGCCCAGGGAGGUCAUGGAGUCUCCCUCUCUGGAGACGUUCCAAACCCACGUGGACAUGUUCCUCUGUCACCUGCUCUAAGUGACCCCGCCUGGCAGGGGGGUUGGACUGGGUGAUCUCCAGAGGUCCCUUCCAACCUUAAAUCUGUGUUUCUGUGAAAUAAACACACCCUGCUGCUGCCAUCC